CUAAGCGAGGAAUCCAAAGCGUACCUCUGUGGCGUGGUCUCACUAAGGUUUGUUCCAAACCCUGUUUGUAUUUACCCGGAAACGGUCAGGUCAGUAAACUCUUAAGUGAUCCUCGUUGUAUCUAGAAACGCAGUGAGAAAGUAAAGGAAGUGCUUAAUGCCUGGUCCCCCGGCAUUAUCUUGCUUCAGCAGACUUGAAUACGUGUGGCAUUUUUUGGAAUAUGUCAUUUUAUUUAUUUUAAAUAAAUUUUUAUUUUAAGAGGGAACCAUUUACCUAAAUCUUCCAUUUUCCACAAUAAGCAAAUUUAGGAGAUGUUUGCGCUGUACGAAGGGGAAUAAACUAUAGUAACUGAAGUUGGAGGUCCGCAAAAGGGUCGGAGGCCAGCUCAAUCUGAAUUAUUGGAAGGAGGGGAACCUGGGGCUGUUGCCUGCUUUCGCCUUCUCAUGUUCGUUGUCCCUGUUGUUGAAGAAAAAAAAUAGUAACUGGGUAAUUGUGUAAGAUUUGGGCGAAGAAUUUCGAUUUGACGGCUUGGAGGCAUUUUGGAACAAGCUUAGGUUAAGGGAUGGAGGGGAAGAAAGAAAAAAGAAAAAAAUACAACCGGAGUAGUUCUGCUGCAGCAGAAAUUUCAUUUUUCCUCGUGGGCAGUCUUUCCUCCCCCCUCCCCUCUUUUUUUUCCCCCUAAAAAUGAGUCUGAGCUUUCCUCUCCACCUCGGUCCUUGAGGUAGGUAACUUAAAGACCAUCAGAUAAAAACUUUCAACUCUUCUUUCAACUCCUUGCCACUCCCCUUCUCUAAAUUUAUCUUUACAGAGUCAGGGAAUAACAACCCCCUGUUGUACCUUCUUAACUCAAACCCAGUAGUUCAGAAUUCUUGUCUCUGGCUCUGUGUGUGUGUCUCCCUCAGAGAUUCUGAGUUCUUUCACCUUAAAAAACAACCCUCCCGUUUCCCCCUUUGACUCUGCCUCUUUCAAAAUGGAAUAAAGCGGGAGGGGCCAAAGAAUGAGGCAUACAUUAAAGUACAUUACAGGCAUAUAUUAAAGUACAUUGAUUGAAAGCAAAAGGACUCUACAAUGUAAAUAAACUGAAGUUAAUGAGCCUCCCUUGAGAAAUUAAGAGGGAAUGUUGCAGAAUGAUAGUUUCCCCCAAAGUCUGUUUCAACCUUUCAUUACCCUGAUAAAUUUAUAGUUGGACACAGGAAGUUCCAGUUAGAGACCACAUUUCCCAGUUGACCUUACAACCUAGUGUGGUUAAGUUCUCACCAGUGGAACAAGAAUGCAGUGUUACAGGUGAUCUGUAACUCUUGCUUAAAAAUAAAUCGUUGCCCUCCGUUUCUGCUCUUUUGAGGUUGGAGGUCCGCAAAAGUGUCUGAGGCCAACUCAAUCUGAAUUAUUGGAAGGAGGGAAACCUAGGGCUGUUGCCUGCUUUCGCCUUCUCAUGUUCGUUGUCCCUGCUCCAGCGCUAGGUGGCGCCAGUGCACACCCGCUGUAGCGCUCCAGCUUUAACCAAGCAAAGGAGGAAAAAUAUCUCACCCAGAGGAUGCGAAAACUUGCAGAGGAAAGAAACCAGGAUGCGUGAAUGAAAAUGGAGCUGAACCACCCUGCUAGUCAGAACCAUUCCUAUCUCUGUUCUCGGCGGAUACAACAUCUUUGUUUGUAUGUGGUGCUGAGGAUCAAACCCGGGCCACACACAUGCCAGGCGAGCGCGCUACCGCUUGAGCCACAUCCCCAGCCCAAGAAUUAUGUUCUUUUGAUUGUAAGAUUUUAUUAAAAUAGUGAGUCCCUUUGUGCAUUCA